GAUUUGCUUUCUUUUUCUCCAAAAGCGGAGGAAAUUGAAACUGAGUGGCCCACGAUGGGAAGAGGGGAAGCCCAGGGGUACAGGAGGCCUCUGGGUGAAGGCAGAGGCUAACAUGGGGUUCGGAGCGACCUUGGCCGUUGGCCUGACCAUCUUUGUGCUGUCUGUCGUCACUAUCAUCAUCUGCUUCACCUGCUCCUGCUGCUGCCUUUACAAGACGUGCCGCCGACCACGUCGUAAGCGUGCCCACCCUGCCCCACUGUGACCCCCUGGGGUGGUAAGGGGAGCUGACCAGGCCCUGCUUUGGCUAAGCUGGAGGGAUGGGUGGCAAGCCUGGCCCUCAAGACCUGGGGAGAUGGAGGAGGGUCCUGACUGGAAUUCUCUUUGCAGCGGUUGUCACCACCACCACAUCCACCACUGUGGUGCAUGCCCCUUAUCCUCAGCCUCCAAGUGUGCCGCCCAGCUACCCUGGACCAAGCUACCAGGGCUACCACACCAUGCCGCCUCAGCCAGGGAUGCCAGCAGCACCCUACCCAAUGCAGUACCCACCACCUUACCCAGCCCAGCCCAUGGGCCCACCGGCCUACCACGAGACCCUGGCUGGUGAGUGCCCCUGCCAACUCUAGCCCUGCCCGACUUCCCGAGUCUCUGCCAGCAUCCCUCGGGCACCCAUCCCAAACUACAUCACUCAACAGGCCUCUGCCCCUUUCUGCUCGCCUGCCACUCACACGGCAGCCCACCAUGCUCACAGCCAACUAGGGUCCUCUCUGCUUUCAGGAGGAGCAGCCGCACCCUACCCCGCCAGCCAGCCUCCUUACAACCCGGCCUACAUGGAUGCCCCGAAGGCGGCCCUCUGAGCAUUCCCUGGCCUCUCUGUAUGCCACUUGGUUAUGUUGUGUGUGUGUGUGAGUGGUGUGCAGGCGCGGUUCCUUACGCCCCAUGUGUGCUGUGUGUGUCCAGGCACGGUUCCUUACGCCCCAUGUGUGCUGUGUGUGUCCUGCCUGUAUAUGUGGCUUCCUCUGAUGCUGACAAGGUGGGGAACAAUCCUUGCCAGAGUGGGCUGGGACCAGACUUUGUUCUCUUCCUCACCUGAAAUUAUGCUUCCUAAAAUCUCAAGCCAAACUCAAAGAAUGGGGUGGUGGGGGGCACCCUGUGAGGUGGCCCCUGAGAGGUGGGGGCCUCUCCAGGGCACAUCUGGAGUUCUUCUCCAGCUUACCCUAGGGUGACCAAGUAUGGCCUGUCACAUCAGGGUGGCGCAGCUUUCUGUGUGAUGCAGAUGUGUCCUGGUUUCGGCAGCGU
rnacentral:sRNA from 1 species